rnacentral:rRNA from 1 species
CCUACGGGAGGCUGCAGUGAGGAAUAUUGGUCAAUGGACGAGAGUCUGAACCAGCCAAGUAGCGUGAAGGAUGACUGCCCUAUGGGUUGUAAACUUCUUUUAUAUGGGAAUAAAAUGUUCCACGUGUGGGAUUUUGUAUGUACCAUAUGAAUAAGGAUCGGCUAACUCCGUGCCAGCAGCCGCGGUAAUACGGAGGAUCCGAGCGUUAUCCGGAUUUAUUGGGUUUAAAGGGAGCGUAGGUGGAUUGUUAAGUCAGUUGUGAAAGUUUGCGGCUCAACCGUAAAAUUGCAGUUGAAACUGGCAGUCUUGAGUACAGUAGAGGUGGGCGGAAUUCGUGGUGUAGCGGUGAAAUGCUUAGAUAUCACGAAGAACUCCGAUUGCGAAGGCAGUUCACUGGACUGCAACUGACACUGAGGCUCGAAAGUGUGGGUAUCAAACUGGAUUAGAUACCCUAGUAGUC